CGAGGAAUCUUGGUCAAUGGGCGCAAGCCUGAACCAGCGACGCCGCGUGGGGGAUGACGGCUCUCGGGUUGUAAACCCCUGUUGUGUGGGACGAAGAACUGACGGUACCACACGAGGAAGCCACGGCUAACUACGUGCCAGCAGCCGCGGUAAUACGUAGGUGGCAAGCGUUGUCCGGAUUUACUGGGCGUAAAGCGCGCGCAGGUGGCGCGUCAAGUCUGGUGUGAAAGCCUCCGGCUCAACCGGAGGAGGCCACUGGAGACUGGCGUGCUCGAGGUGGGUAGGGGUCGGUGGAAUUCCCGGUGUAGUGGUGAAAUGCGUAGAUAUCGGGAGGAACACCAGUGGCGAAAGCGGCCGACUGGGCCCAACCUGACGCUGAGGCGCGAAAGCGUGGGGAGCGAACCG
rnacentral:rRNA from 1 species